UCUGUCUCUCUGUUCGUUGUUAACAGAAGAAGUUUAAGAAGGGAUCCAUCGACCUGCAGAAAGUCAGGUGUGUGGAGAUCGUGAAGAAUGGAGGAGGAGUCGUACCCUGUCAGAACAAAUACCCCUUCCAAGUGGUGUAUGACUCCGGGACUCUCUACGUGUUCGCUCCCAGCUCUGAGAGUAGGAAUAUCUGGGUCCAAAUUAUCAAGGAAGAUUAAGGAACACCUAACACUACUCCUUGAGACAACAACAGCAAUUACACAUCCCAAAGAGAACAUCACGAGGUUACAGUAAGAUCUUUAAGAUACAAAGACCCAAG